UUGACCUCGAAUCAGGUAGGAAUACCCGCUGAACUUAAGCAUAUCAAUAAGCGGAGGAAAAGAAACCAACAGGGAUUGCCCCAGUAACGGCGAGUGAAGCGGCAACAGCUCAAAUUUGAAAUCUGGCUCUCGGGCCCGAGUUGUAAUUUGUAGAGGAUGCUUUUGGUGAGGUGCCUUCCGAGUUCCCUGGAACGGGACGCCAUAGAGGGUGAGAGCCCCGUCUGGUUGGACGCCGAACCUCUGUAAAGCUCCUUCGACGAGUCGAGUAGUUUGGGAAUGCUGCUCUAAAUGGGAGGUAUAUGUCUUCUAAAGCUAAAUACCGGCCAGAGACCGAUAGCGCACAAGUAGAGUGAUCGAAAGAUGAAAAGAACUUUGAAAAGAGAGUUAAAAAGUACGUGAAAUUGUUGAAAGGGAAGCGCUUGUGACCAGACUUGGGCUUGGUUGAUCAUCCGGGGUUCUCCCCGGUGCACUCUUCCGGCCCAGGCCAGCAUCAGUUCGCCCUGGGGGACAAAGGCUUCGGGAACGUGGCUCUCUCCGGGGAGUGUUAUAGCCCGUUGCGUAAUACCCUGUGGCGGACUGAGGUUCGCGCAUC
rnacentral:rRNA from 1 species